rnacentral:rRNA from 1 species
UACGUAGGGGGCAAGCGUUGUCCGGAAUCAUUGGGCGUAAAGCGCGUGUAGGCGGCUUCGUAAGUCCGUUGUGAAAGUCCAGGGCUCAACCCUGGAAUGCCGAUGGAUACUGCGGAGCUAGAGUCCGGAAGAGGCGAGUGGAAUUCCUGGUGUAGCGGUGAAAUGCGUAGAUAUCUGGAGGAACACCGGUGGCGAAGGCGGCAUCCUGGACCAAUUCUGACGCUGAGUGAGCGAAAGCCAGGGGAGCAAACGGG